rnacentral:rRNA from 1 species
AUUGAACGCUGGCGGCAGGCCUAACACAUGCAAGUCGAGCGCGCGGCGCACGGGUGUGUAAUGUGUCGGGACUGCCCGAUAUAGGGGGAUAACUACUGGAAACGGUAUCUAAUACCGCAUACCCUCUGAUAACCCACAGGGGAUUAGCUAGUAGGUGAGGUAAUGGCUCACCUAGGCGACGAUCCCUAGCUGGUCUGAGAGGAUGAUCCGCCACACUGGGACUGAGACACGGCCCAGACUCCUACGGAGGCAGCAGUGGGGAAUAUUGCACAAUGGGCGCAAGCCUGAUGCAGCCAUGCCGCGUGUAUGAAGAAGGCCCUAGGGUUGUAAAGUACUUUCAGUCGGGAGGCGUUACCGGCAGAAGAAGCACCGGCUAACUCCGGGCCAGCAGCCGCGGUAAUAC